AAAAGAUCCGGUACCAUCCUUGUCUACAAAAACUACAAAAAGUGAGGUAAAGGCAGACAAAAGUAAGACAUAAAAGGUCCUUCCUGGGCUCAACACAAGAACCAAAAGAACAUUUAAGAAAUUUCUAACUAUAUUCGACUCCAAGAAAUGAGCAGAUUUUAAAAUGUGCAUAAAAUAAUUAGUUUACAAUGCGUUAGAAACAAGGAAACCAAAAUAAAUUUAUUUGUUUCAUAACAAAACCAUUUUUUCCAUGUACGCUACCUGUGUAGUCCACAGAUAUUUGUAAAAUUAAAACAAGUACGGUAGAAUAAA